AUGAGAAACAUUUAUCUCACAUAGAAGCAUCAUCUGCUGCUCUCCAGGUAAAUCCUAAUAGCAUUCACUGUUCCAUCUGUCUGCAUUUUACACUCAGAUUCUUGUUUUUCAUUAUAGCCAAGAUUUGAGAGGAUCAACAUGAUGCAUCUUUUCAUCCAGAGCAAGGGAAGAACCCAAAAGCUUCCUAACUACAAUAUUUUGAAGCACUGAUCUCCCUGUUCAGUGGACAGUAGCAGAUGAUGGGGUUCACGAAUGGGGGCAUGGUUUCAUUGCAAUGGGACCUAAGUAGGUUAUUGCCCCCAAAAUGACCAACAGCAGAAGAAUGGCCAGCUGCAAAGUACAGAAGACAAUGAGUCAGAUCUCAGCAUGGAGACAGAUGGAAUGGUGACUGCUAUUGGGAUUUUCCUGGAGAGCAGCAGGUGAUGCUUACACUGAGUGGAACACUUUUCUCAUCAAAUGGAUUCACUCAAAAUGGAAGCUGUUUUAUUUUCCCCACUCCCAAGAGCUGAACCUUCAUUCUGGUGACUAAAGUACAUUAACAAAAUUCUAUUUCAGAACUGAAUCCAAACUUCCCUCCAUUUUCAUCUAGAAAGACUGUCUGGGAAAACCUCAGCCUGGAGGCUCUGGUGCCCAUUUAGCCCCAGUCCAGCACUGGAACAACAGGCACAUCAGGCUCCCUGCAUCUCUGUACUUAUUGCUUCUUGCAGAAGCAAGUGGUGUUUGGUGCCAUGAACCUCCUGUUAUCCAGAGCUCACAUCCUGGUGAAGGUCUGGAGAUGGCUUAUUCUCCUCUGCUGCCUGAGAUACCUCAACUUUCAAUGUUUCGUCAUGAGGAGGCUACAUCUGUUCUCCACCUUUAUCUAGUUAUAGGUGACAAUCACAAUGGUAUGUAAGGUACAAAGCUUAGUGUGAUUUCUGCAUUUGUAGAAAUAGUUGUUCCAAACAAGCUAACUAACAUACAACAUUUCUUUUCAAAAUAUGUCUGUGCCUACAUCAUUUUCAUAGCUGAUUUCAAGGCAAAAAAUCACUUUCAAAGUUUUAUUUAAGUAACUCUCUCACAAAGGUAGGGAGUUAACAAUUCUGAACCUUUUAAUGUUUUAUAUGAAUUAAGUUUCCCUGUUCUUUAUCUCGACCUAUAUUUAUAUGUAGACUUUCUGUCCAGGUUUUUAUUAAAAUAUUUGAAUGAAGUACUAGAUUAAUUUCUAGUCUCCAGUGUUAAUUUAUAAACCUGUGUCACUGUAGUUCUUCUUUGUGUUCACUUUCUACCUAGAACUUAUUUUUUAUUAAAGAAUUUAAGAAAUUCCAUUUUAAAUUUGCUUUAAUAUAUUUUCAGAUAAUG
rnacentral:lncRNA from 1 species